GGAAAAGCUGGCAGUUACAGGCCUCACCCAGCUCCCAUUCAACCCAGAAAGCUGGUCUCACUCCCAUUGUGAAAAUCCUGCCACCACAGCACCAAGUUGGUUUCCAGGCAUCGGGAAGCAGGGCUGAGAAAUUGCUCCAAGCUACCAGCCUCCAGCUAAGAAAGCAAGCAGGGCUUUUGUGCCUCCCUACCUGUUGAGUCUGCACACCGGAUUCACACCCCUUCAUCUGGCAGUCCUCCCCAAGGACCCCUGUGUGACAAAUCAGAAAUGGCUUCCCUGGGGACCCAGAAAACCCACAGGGCUUCUCUCGCUGCUUCCUCUACUCCUGUAUUUUGCUCAGCUCUCUAAACUGACUC
rnacentral:lncRNA from 1 species